rnacentral:rRNA from 1 species
UAGGUAAAGGCUUACCAAGCCGUUGAUCGGUACGGGUUGUGAGAGCAAGAGCCCGGAGAUGGAACCUGAGACAAGGUUCCAGGCCCUACGGGGUGCAGCAGGCGCGAAACCUCCGCAAUGUGAGAAAUCGCGACGGGGGGAUCCCAAGUGCCAUUCUUAACGGGAUGGCUUUUCAUUAGUGUAAAGAGCUUUUGGAAUAAGGGCUGGGCAAGACCGGUGCCAGCCGCCGCGGUAACACCGGCAGCUCUAGUGGUAGCAGUUUUUAUUGGGCCUAAAGCGUCCGUAGCCGGUUUAAUAAGUCUCUGGUGAAAUCCUGUAGCUUAACUGUGGGAAUUGCUGGAGAUACUAUUAGACUUGAGACCGGGAGAGGUUAGAGGUACUCCCAGGGUAGAGGUGAAAUUCUGUAAUCCUGGGAGGACCGCCUGUUGCGAAGGCGUCUAACUGGAACGGUUCUGACGGUGAGGGACGAAAGUUAGGGGCGCGAACCGGAUUAGAUACCCGGGUAGUCCUAACUGUAAACGAUGCGGACUUGGUGUUGGGGUGGCUUUGAGCUGCUCCAGUGCCGAAGGGAAGCUGUUAAGUCCGCCGCCUGGGAAGUACGGUCGCAAGACUGAAACUUAA